AAAGGAAUUGGUGCUUUUGUGCAUAGUUUACCCAAUAUGUUAUUUACGUCAGUUAUCAGUUGUAAAAAAAGUGCGGUUGAGACGGGUAGUACCCUUUCUCCAGGGGUGUGAAACAAAAAACGCCGGGCAUAUGUGUGGAUUAGCGGUCGAUAGUAGUUCACCUGGUAGCUAUUCGUAGACGUGUAUAAAUUGCAAUCCAUCCCAUAGAAACGCAUCAGUUCUUUCUUUCAUCUUGUGCAAACAAGGAAGUCAAAAACGUUCAUCAUUUUCUUCAAAAUGAAAUUCUCAGUUAUUUUUGUAUUCGCAUUGGUGCUCUUGUCCGCAUUUGUAAACAAUGCAGAAGCUAAAAAGAGGAGAUGGAGAAGAAUUGAAGAAGCUGGGAAACGGGUAUUGAACGCAGCAGUACAGUUUUUACCUGUCGCCCAAGGCUACGGUGGAGUCGCAGGAGCCGUAGGAAAAAAGUAAUUUAUUAAUUACACCAAAGAUCAUCUUAGUUAUUACCUAUAUUUGUACUUAUUGUUUAUUCAAUGUUUCUACCACCUUUUUGUAAAUAAAUUCAGUAAUCAUACUGA